rnacentral:lncRNA from 1 species
CAAGAAACGUAAGCAUUUACUUACUUUAGAAUUUAAAAGACAGAGGGAUACAAUGUAGAUAACCUCCAUUUUGCCUUGUUCUGAUGGUAUGUAUUUUCUGUAAAGAAACAAGAGUGGAAGCAUUUUAUUGCUGAAAUUUGCUCUUUGGGAUCAUUAACUUAAGUUAUAAUAGCCAUACUUUUCCUUCUGUCAAGCCAUAGGUUAUGAUUGCAGUUCUUAUGUAUAGGAAAAGACUACCAUUUAUUGAUAGAGUGGCC